rnacentral:tRNA from 1 species
GCUUUAAAAGCUGCCUAUAGCGCUGGUCUUGUAAACCAGAGGUCGAGCUUGUCCGCUCUUAAAGCU